AGAGCACACGGUGGAUGCCUUGGCAUAAGGAGGCGAUGAAGGACGUGUAAAGCUGCGAUAAGCUUCGGGGAGCUGCAAAAGAGCGUUGAUCCGAGGAUUUCCGAAUGGGGCAACCCCAAUGACACCCUUAUAGGGUGGGCUAACCGGCCGAACUGAAACAUCUAAGUAGGCCGAGGAGAAGAAAACAACAGUGAUUCCCCAAGUAGUGGCGAGCGAACGGGGAGCAGCCCAAACCGGUCGGGUUACGGCCCGGUCGGGGUAGUAGGACCACGUGGUGGUAGUAUGCUGGUGAGUCGAAUGCGCCUGGAAAGCGCAGCCGCAGAAGGUGAAAGCCCUGUAGGCGAAGCGAGCAUACGCCUAGUGGUAUCCUGAGUAGCGCGGGACCGGAGAAAUCCUGCGUGAAUUUGCCGGCACCAUCCGGUAAGGCUAAAUACUCCCUUAUGACCGAUAGUGCACUAGUACCGUGAGGGAAAGGUGAAAAGAACGCCGAGAAGGCGAGUUAAAAGUACCUGAAACCGUGUGCUUACAACCAGUCGGAGCAUUUUAUUUAUAGGAUGUGACGGCGUGCCUUUUGCAUAAUGAGCCUACGAGUUAUACCUGCAUGGCGAGGUUAAGCCCCUUGCGGGGCGGAGCCGCAGCGAAAGCGAGUCUGAAACGGGCGGCAGUCGUGCGGGAUAGACGCGAAACCAUGUGAUCUACCCAUGGCCAGGGUGAAGCGAAGGUAAGACUUCGUGGAGGCCCGAACCGGUAGGCGUUGAAAAGCCUUCGGAUGAGCUGUGGGUAGGGGUGAAAGGCCAAUCAAACAUGGAGAUAGCUCGUUCUCCCCGAAAUAUAUUUAGGUAUAGCGUAUGACCGAGCUCCACGGAGGUAGAGCACUGAUUAGGCUAGGGCCCUUCACCGGGUACCAAACCUUGACAAACUCCGAAUGCCGUGGUAGUGAUGGCAUGCAGUCAGCGGCAGGGUGAUAACGUCCUGUUGCGAGAGGGAAACAACCCGGAACACCAGCUAAGGUCCCAAAGACGGGCUAAGUUGAUCAAAGGAGGUUGGGUUGCCCAGACAACCAGGAGGUUGGCUUAGAAGCAGCCAUUCCUUUAAAGAGUGCGUAAUAGCUCACUGGUCGAGCGACCCGGCGUCGAAAAUUUGCGGGCAUCAAGUCCGUCACCGAAGCUGUGUCUUGGCUGGCAUUAUGCCGGUCAGGGGUAGGGGAGCAUUGUAAGGGCGUUGAAGGUUGGCUGUGAGGCUGGCUGGAGCGCUUACAAGAGAAACUGUAGGCAUGAGUAACGAUAACAGGGGUGAAAAUCCCCUGCACCGAAAACCUAAGGGUUCCUGAUCAACGUUCGUCGGAUCAGGGUUAGUCGGGACCUAAGGUGAUCCUGCUUUUGGCAGGUAAGCCGAUGGCAAACGGGUUUAUAUUCCCGUACCGCGAGUACACGUUAAGCUAAGGCGUGACGCAGAAGUGACACCUGUGCGCACAGACGGAUGUGCGUUGAAGGGCGUAGGCUGUGGGGUAGGCAAAUCCGCCCCGCGUUCGGCUGAACCCCGACAGUACCACAAGGCUUCGGCUGCGUGGAUAAUCAGGGUAACCAUGCUGCCAAGAAAAGCGUCGUAGUUAGUGUGCCGUGCCCGUACCGUAAACCGACACAGGUAGGUGAGGAGAGUAUCCUCAGGUGCGCGAGUGAUUCAUGGCUAAGGAACUCGGCAAAUUAGAUCCGUAACUUCGGGAGAAGGAUCCCCGUUAGCAAUAACGGGCGCAGUGAAAAGGUCCAAGCGACUGUUUAGCAAAAACACAUGACUCUGCUAAGGCGCAAGCCGAUGUAUAGGGUCUGACACCUGCCCGGUGCUGGAAGGUUAAGGAAGGGGGUUAGCCUUAGGGUGAAGCUCUUGACCGAAGCCCCAGUAAACGGCGGCCGUAACUAUAACGGUCCUAAGGUAGCGAAAUUCCUUGUCGGGUAAGUUCCGACCUGCACGAAUGGUGUAACGACUUGGACACUGUCUCGGCCAUGAGCUCGGUGAAAUUGUGGUGCCGGUGAUGACGCCGGCAACCCGCAGUGGGACGAAAAGACCCCGUGAACCUUUACUACAGCUUUGCAUUGGAUUCGGCUGUGUUAUGUGUAGCAUAGGUGGGAGACUGGGAAGCGGAUACGCCAGUAUUCGUGGAGUCACCGUUGAAAUACCACCCUUAGCUUAGCUGGAUUCUAACCCCCAUGUGGGGGACAUUGCAUGGUGGGUAGUUUGACUGGGGCGGUCGCCUCCUAAAGAGUAACGGAGGCUCACAAAGGUUCCCUCAGCACGGUUGGCAAUCGUGCAGUGUGUGUAAAGGCAUAAGGGAGCUUGACUGCGAGACCUACAAGUCGAGCAGGGACGAAAGUCGGUCUUAGUGAUCCGGCGGUUCCGAAUGGAAGGGCCGUCGCUCAAAGGAUAAAAGGUACUCCGGGGAUAACAGGCUGAUCUCCCCCAAGAGUUCAUAUCGACGGGGAGGUUUGGCACCUCGAUGUCGGCUCAUCGCAUCCUGGGGCUGGAGAAGGUCCCAAGGGUUUGGCUGUUCGCCAAUUAAAGCGGUACGCGAGCUGGGUUCAGAACGUCGUGAGACAGUUCGGUCUCUAUCUACUGCGGGCGUUAGGAAAAUUGAGGAGAUCUGCCUCUAGUACGAGAGGACCGGGGUGGACGAGCCGCUAGUGUACCUGUUGUGACGCCAGUUGCAUCGCAGGGUAGCUAUGCUCGGCCGGGAUAAGCCGCUGAAAGCAUCUAAGCGCGAAGCCCACUCCAAGAUAAGUUUUCCCCUAUGAGCCCUGGAAGAUGACCAGGUUGAUAGGCGACAGGUGUACGCAUGGUAACAUGUUCAGCUGAGUCGUACUAAUCGCUCAUGCGUCUUUC
rnacentral:rRNA from 1 species